UCAUUGUUCCAGCUUCCUCUUCAGGUAGUUUUACCUUCUUUUGGUUAUGAGAAUUACUGGAACAGAUAGUAAUUGUAUUGUAGGAUUUCAAUUUACACUUAGAUUUUUUGUAAUUAUUGCAUUUUGAUUAAUUCAGUUCCAAGUUAGUACUGCUAAGAGAGCUUUUUGGAAGAAAAAGAAUUAUUUUCUUUUUUUAGAUGAAUCAGAUGAAAAGAAUAAGUGGUAAAUUAUGUCUGGCAAUGGUAAGACUUUAGAAAGCAUACUACUAAGGGUUACAUAAUUUUUUACUGGGAAACAAGGUUUUAGAGAAUAAUGUAAAGCCAUCUGCUGAUGGGUCAUUCUGACUAUUCAGAUGACAUAUGCCUCUGGCUGAUUUCUCAUCUUACUGGAAACAAGUCUGGUAGAGGAAAAUGUGAUCUAUGUAUGUGGACCCCAUUCCCAUGCUUAACACCAUUUAAUAUGUUCUCAUGUCAGCUUUGUGGGUAAUUUUAACUCCAGGGAAAUACUAAGCCACACACCUGAGAUAACACUGGGACAAUGUUAUGCUUGACUGCUCUUUUCUAGCUUCUUCUCCCUUGUACUUUUGAUUCCUUAAGAUAGAGCUGGAUAAGUAGAAAAGGCUGCCAAGGGUGCAGAGAACAAGUCAGAGCCAUUCUUUACUGAUUUGUUUUAUUACACUUCUUCCUUAUAGGACAGAACAAGCCAUGCCCUUUGUACAGCCAGCAUGUUUAGACUUGGCUAGGGAGGAAUUUGAGUUGCCACCUCUAACAGCACAGGUUGCAGGGUGAGCAUCAAAUUAGCUAUGUGAACAUGGGGAUUUCAUGCAAGCAAAAGUUUGAAUGCAUUUACACAUUGGCAUUAUGUUGGAAAUCAGAGUCAGAUUACCAGUAGCCUGAAAAAUUGCCACAGGUUCAUUAUCCUGUAGGAUUUCUGCAUGGAAUUUGAAUGUAGAUCUCCAGGACCUGAUGGUCUUCUGAAACUACAGCUACUGUAGUAUGUAAAUAAGAAAAAGGCUACUGAGUGAUAUAUUUCCUGGAUUUCACAGAUAAAUAAUGUCCAGUUUUAGUUUAAAAGUGGCAUGUUCACUACUACUUUGGACUGUCCUGGGAUCUUCAAUCCAGAAGUAAAAUUUUAGUUACAAUUUCUUACUGGGACAGACUUAAAUAUGCCUGAAAGUUUCAUAAAAAGUAUUUAAAUCCUCUUACAAAGUUGCUAGAACAAAGCCUAUUAAUUCUAAAUUACUUCAUGGCUUUUUUCUUCUCUUGAUAAUACACCCUUGAGGAUGAUGGUGCCUCACUAUUGUAACUCAUCAAGCUAGAGGCAGUGCAGAUAUUAAUUACAUUUUUCUACAGUCAUCAUUAAAUAGUUUGUACUUCACACAGACACUGUGACCUCCAUGCAGUAAGUUAAUUGACGUUAAUAAUAGGAAAGUAGGAGACCAGAUUGCAGAAGUCAUUGCCUGAAAUCUGUGACUAGCAUAGUUGGAAAAUACACGAUCCUCUUUUCAUAUCCUUUCUUAGUCACUGUUCUACUUAAUCUCAGGAAGGGAAAAAUUGACUGUGGACGAACUUCCUGUAUCAUCUACUGCAACCCAGUUUGUUAGUGCAGCAUAAUUGAUCACAAUUUCAACAACUUCUCUGAAGCACCAUCCCUGAACUAGUUCAAAGGCAGCUGUCAUUACAGCAGAGUAUUUUUCCAAGUGUCUGCUGAAGAAGUUGCGCUGCCUGCUGAAAUUUCAUAGGUCACAUCGUUCCUUCCUAGUAGGAAAAGAAAUCAAGUGCAUUUAUUACUUCUUUUUUUUUCCCAGUUCCCCCUUAUGGGCAUUCAUUUUUGAAGAUGUUUUCACACUUUACCUGACCAUCAUGCUUUGUGACGUCUCAGGUGGAAGUACUGCAGAAACUGAGAUCCUUGCAAGGAAAGCCCACGUGUAGACCAACUUGCAACAGGGAAUGUGAAAUUGUCAAUAUAAACCUAUUUAAUCUCACAGAUAAAUUGAGGGAUGGGCUUUCAGUCAAUUUUACGCUCUUUUUUGCAAGCUGCAAAUACGAAGCUGUUUUCAAGUCCCCUUUGGUGUUCUGAUGAUGUCAGUAGAGUGGAGAACACUGUUACUGUCUACAUUUUCCUGAAGUGGAUACUGCAUAACAUUCUAUCACAUGCAUUAAAAAACAAAUAAAUAAACAAACAAAAACCUACCACCACCACCGCCAACAACAACAAAAAACACACUUGGAGCUUUGCAAAAGAGAAACUUUUCAAAAGAGAACAGGAUCUUGUAAUGGCAACCUGAAGGCAACUGAAGCCGGAAACAUCAUGUUUUCCACUUCUUUGUCUGUAUGCCAAGUAUGCAGCUUAUCUGAUUCACAGUAUGACUGUCCACAUUUAGUCCCGAACAGGCAUCCUCUGUAGUUCAAAAAAUUAAAUGUCUGGGCUUUCCAAAAGGCAAAGUACAAAAGGGACAUGUUUGACAAAAGGACUGGAUUUCACUGGGAUCAGAUCAAAGUUUUUUUCAGAAGAUUUCUACCAGUGCUAUCAAGAAGCAUUUUUAUUUUUCUUGUUCAGAUAGUGUCUUUGUGCAGCAUGUGCUUCUUUCCCACUCCUGCAGUACAAGCUAGAGAAUGUUUAUCAACUGCAUAUUUAUUUCUUACUCUCUAGGUGUUACUUACAUGUGAUGGCUUUUGCUUCUUUGUGUGUAUGUCUGAGCAUACACAUGAUUGAAUGAAGAAGCACAGUUCUCAAUUGUAUUUCAUACUCGGGAAGGAAUGUGAAUGUCAUCCAUCUUAGUGCUAGGUUUACAUAAGUUUAUAUAAUUGUUGUUUUUUUUUUCUUUAUCACACUUCUUCCCACAUACAUCCAAAGAGAAAGUUGUCUGUACAGUACUAUCAGAACUUGAACUACAGCACAAAAAUGGCUUAUAGGAAAGAUGCAUUAGAUCCUUCAUAGUGUCUCUGAGGCAGCAGUCACACUGGCAGCAGGCGCUGAUCAGAGAGCAGGCUUGGGAUCACACUAAGCAGCAGUGUGUGGCAGAAACAGCCAAAUCUUGCCCAAAGUUCAUGGACUAGCAUGGAUGAACUUGGACCUGAGUGCAGGUUUGGGUCUGUAUCUGCAAUGCAGUGUAGAUGUAUCCAGAACAAGCCAUGUUUAUAUAAAACCCAACUAACAAAGAGCGUGCAUAUCAUGCAUAAAGCAAAACAAGAAAACUUUAUCCAAUGCAAAAUUAACUUUUUGUAUGGUAAUGACAAGUCAUUAGUUUCUCUUCAUAGAUAACAGUAGUUUGCCGUGGGGCACAAGUUUGCAGGGAGGAAAACCUUCUCUGUAUACCUCUGCCUCUGCAACUUCACUGCUGAUAUCAAUCAGCUGAUUUGGAGACACUGUAGAUGGGUGGUGUCAGAUAUUCUAUUUUGGGGAAUGGUGGUCUAUGCUCAGCUGGGAAGUAAAUCAAAUUUUGUCACGGUAAAUCUUCCAUUAAACUUAUGUUUAAAUUGGAGUCUCUGCUUUACAACUUAGUGAGCUCUGUUAAAAUAGUAAGAGAGAAGAGUAAAGAUAUCUCCAAUAACUGAUUGGUGAUUUAAGUCAUCUAUAACAGAAGUAACUGAUACCUAUUAAUAAAAAGCCUCCCCCUUGAAAGACAACAGAGAGUAAUUUCCAUCUCAAAUUCACACAAAAUCUGCCAUUCCCUGUGAGUUCUUACUGAUUCUCAUUACAAAUAUUUAUCAAUAUUCUGACAGUAAAUUAGAAAACAAAAUUGAAUAGGCUUGAACCUCCUUUCAAUUCCUGCUGCAAUUUACACAGCAUAUGCUCUCCUGUCAGGCUCACAAGCUGAAGUGAUAUCCUACUCCUGGCACGCCAUCUAGUUUCCUCUGCAAUUAUGACUAGAAAUCUACCCAGAAUAGAUCCACACCUUUGGGGACCUCAAUCUCCCUCUGGAAUUCAAUAUAAACUGGGAAUGUCCAGAAUCCCAGCUCUGUGCAAAAGUGGAGCAGCCUGCAGCAAGCCACUAAGCUGCCCUGGCUGCCCUGCUGCCCAGCUGUAUUUGGGACAGCAGCUGUGAGGAGUUAAAGCCCCCAUUUCUGGUCCAAGCUCAGUGUGUGCUGUGAGCACACUCCUGAAUAUUAGUUCCCUUGUACCUACUUGUCUUUGAGACAACAGACUCUUUAGACUACAGUGUCUGGCACUAUUUUAAACACAGCUACAAAUAGCAUUUUUCUAUUAUAAUAAAUAGUUUUCUUAUAUUUUUUCCUCCAAUCAGUUCUAGUUUCCUACAGUGUUUUGUUAUCUCAUUGACACUUUCACAUUUAGUCUCCUUAUUGUUCCAGUUUAAAGCCAAAAUAGAUGAACAGCCUAUGCUGGUUUUCCUCCUUCUGAGCUGUUUCUUCUCUUACGACACAUCUAAAAAUGAAUAAUCCAUUUGUUUUUAAAAGUGCUAAAAUUAUUUCCUUAUAGAGCAGACGAAUAGUGAAAGAAUUCUGGUGUUAAAAGCUUAGAAUGCAAUAAGAUUUAUAGUGCAUUAUAUAAAGUACUGAAUACUUUUAUGAAGGUAACAGCAUUCACUCAUUACUGAGAGGCUGGUUUUGAACUGCUGACCUGAAAGAUAAAAAGAAGAUGGGAUCAUUCUCUGGAGUGAGCUCCAAUAAAGAAACAGAAUUGGCAGAGAGAGUUUUGAAGAAACAACAGAUAUUUCACAGUCAAGGAGAGGAGCUAGUAUCAUCACGAACAAACAAAAUAAUUGUUGUAAGAAGUGCUUUCAGCAAAACAUGAAAAGGUAGAUGGAUUUUCAAUUGUCAGUAAAUAACAUGUGUCAUACCUUUGCAUUUUUUUCUUCCUGAAACAUGGACAUUAUAAGGAGAGUCUUUCUUUUGGAUAGUAAGUUGUAAGAUUAUAAAUAUUGAUCAUAUGACUAGAAGAAGAAGUAAAUGUUCUAACACGGUUUGUGUGAUCUUUUUGCUGUUGUUUCUGACAGUGCUUAGAUCAAUUAGAAUUUACAAGCAUUAUUCAUUAUCUGUCAUAACAGUAAGUUGGACUGUGACUUUGUUUUAUGUCCUUGGAUAUCUGAGGCAAUACUGAAUAGUGUCUGAUGGCAAGGAGUUCUUUCUGUAGCAAUCAACCAAGAAUGAGGAGAUGGCCUUGGAAGUGAUUCCUUUGCUCCAUGAUUGCAGUGUUUUACCCUUUUCUAUUCAUGGUGAGAAAAGCUGUGACUUGAGAAAGUCAUGCCUCAGACUAAGAAUCAAGUCCUUUUAUUCUGUCUUAGCUUGCACUAUGUCCUUUCUCUGUUUAUAAUUAAAAUGUUUUUCUAAAUUUUAUCUCAAUCACUUAUUUUCUUGGAUCAAGGAAAUUCAUGUACGUGUACUCCUGCACAAGGCAAUCUGCUCACCUACCUUCAUGCUGAAUUUAAAACUGCCUAUUUAGUACUACAGUACUCUCUAUGUUUUUAUGCAUGCAGUCUGUCAUCAUUUGAAUUUCCUCAGGGUUCCCAUGCCCCUACCCCUCACUAAGGAGCUGUCAUUUCUCUUCCUCAUCCCACAGACUUGUCCUGACAUUCUGAAGAGCUCUGUUCUCUUAAAGAAAAAAAAAAAAAA